rnacentral:lncRNA from 1 species
UCUCGUCGGUGCAGCCAUUAGAAAAAUCGAUCCACACCAAAAAUCCCCACCGAGAGCUCCCCCUGCGUGGAGCUUAUCCACAUUGCCAUUCCUCCCAGCAGCGCUGCUCUCCUUCCUCUCUAUCCAUCUAUCCAUCGGGCCAUCCCGUGAGCUCCUCCCAUGGAGCUGCAGGAGCCCCCGAGCCGACUGCACCGGCGAGCACCAGCAGCAAGCCGCGCCACCCCCCUGCCCUCUGCUCCCUUCUCCUUCUUCUCCCUCCUUCCUCUUUCUUUUCUCUCUCUUAACUCCCUCUCUCUUAUCGUUGCUACAGGACAUCAAGCUGCCAUGGAUGUUGCACCGAGCUCAAGUCAAACAGUCCAAGCCUAGGAGCGCCGCCCUCCUCAACCCCGUCCAGAUCCAGGCCGUUCCUGUCGGAUCCACCUUGCCCCGCCGCAAGUCCCUGGAGAGACGCCACUGCACUUCUUCCAGCGCGAGGGAGCCAGCGCUCGAGCGCAAAACGGCCGCUCGCCAGGACGCGUUAACCCCCAACUCUCCCCCGCUCGCCAGGACGCUCCGCUCGCCGCGUUGACCGCCCUGGUUCGCGCGUGGCGCUGCUCGCCCGCUCGCCAGCAUGUUGCGCCGAGGGCCCAGCCGCAUCUGCUUGUCUGCAUCGAGACCGAAGGAGACGACCGCAUGCCCCUAUUCGUCGGCGCAUCCCCCUGCCGCGCCAUGGCCCCGAAAACUUUCACAGGGACUUACGGACCCCAAAUUAGUACCACCUUGUUUAUAUUGCGAUUUUGUCUAUACAAAUCAUAAAAGCGUAUUAUGACAUGAGAAGAAAGCGUAUUAUGUAGUACCACCUUGUUUAUAUUGCGAUUUUGUCUAUACAAAUCAUAAAAGCGUAUUAUGACAUGAGAAGAAAGCGUAUUAUGACAGUGAACCCGAGAGACUCAACCUGUGCUUUAUUAUUAUUAGGGAAAAGAUAGCACUUGUAUAUGUUUUUCAUGUAUUAAGUGUAGCCAAAUUUGAUUUAUUCCUCACAUGCACAUCAAUACAAAAUUCUACCCAUGACAAUUGGACAUCGCAUUGCAGAAUUGAACCAAGUAGUUAACUAAACACUACAACAAAUGAACCAAACAUUAACUGAGCACCACAUUGCACAAUAUAACAUACUCCUAAUAGAAGAUCAGACAGUUAACCAAAC